rnacentral:lncRNA from 1 species
CCUUCCAAAUUUUAAUUUUUAGAUGAUAUAAAUUACUUCUAAAUCUAGUAGGUGAAGGGAAAAAGGGCCAAAUUUUCUACCAUAAUAAUAAAACUUGUACUAGUCCAAACAUACAUAAACAGGAUAUAAAUUCCAACAUUAAUGUGUAAAAAAGUGUCGACGCAAAAUAAUAAUAGGUGUAUACAAAUAAGAAAUGAAACUUGGGAGAGGAAAGGGCACUAGACUGUUGGCGGGUUUGACUUAAGAUUAUGGUGUUAACUCCUUUCUCGGAUGAAAUAUACUGUUGGUCUUGUUUUGAGACUCCAAGCGGAUACUAGAGUCUAGCCUUAAGACUCCAAGGUUGUUUGCUCUAGAAGUGUUCAUGCAAAAAUAAAAAGGAAAUAAAAAAUUAGUACAAUGGUCCAGCUUAAAUAAUCCCAAAUAAAGUCGCACGACAAAUGUAAUGUUAAAAAGCUAAGACAUGAAUUUCAAACUAGAUAAAUUUAAAUAGAAUAGCUAAAUCACCAUAUGUGUUUUAUUCACAGCUAAUCUCUUAAUACAUAAAGCUUAAAUUUAUACCAAACCCACGAACCAAAAGCACAGAGAAAGAAAUUAACUUAUGCCCAUUUUAAAGGGUCAAUAUGUAUGUCAUGCACAAAAAUGUUCCUGCAAACAAAUCCUAUUUGUAUGUGCACGUAAAGUAAAAAAUAAGGAAGUAAAAAGAAGGCCCAUUCCAUUAGGGAAUACAUAAAAGACUGCCUAACAUUUAGUAUUAAACUAAGCUAAGCAAACAUCUCUUUCAAAAGAGAUGUUGAUAUUCUUAAGAAAAUAAUAUCCGGAAGACUCCUGGCAAUAAAAAUACAUGCAUACAAAGACUUCAAAAGAUAUGUAUGCAUAUGGAAUACGGAUUAAGGCUGCAAGGGUGUAAAUCAUAUUUUAAGUUUUAUUAGAGAAAUAUGACAUUUUUCAAGCAAUCUAUGCCAAAUUUCACCAUUAAAGACACCAAACAAGCUAAUAACCUUAAAAAGAGAUAGAUUCAAUGUGGCUAUUAUCUAAUUCUAAAAGCAAAACAGUGAAAAUAACAUGAUUUUGCAGAGUCCAAACUAAGCGGCAGAAACAUUUAAACAUAGUUUUCACUGUAGCUAACUAAACUAACUUUUAAACAUGAUGUUUGCUAUAGCUAAACAAAAUCUUGCAGUAUACACAAGUUCUCUUUUUUUUUUAGAAAACACACAUCACUUUAUCACAAAACAAAAGAGGACAGAGGAUAUAGAUGUACCAUUUGUGGGGCAGUGAACGGGGAGUUUUCGACCUACGAUCUAUACCCGAACCCAAACGAUGAAGCUUGAACACUCUUUAAACCCGAGAUCGAAAUAAAAUGAAAUGGGGAGACUUUAAAAACGGCAGACUAGUAACUAUCGUGCCAUGGAACGGAUGAAAAAGCCUCGGGUGAUACCAUAAGUGAAAGAGAAUGAAAAGAGCAAUGUAAUGAAUGAACACACAGUAACUUUUGGGUGAUGUUUCAGCAACUGAGAGCAGCGGAAAUGGCUUGCUCACGGCUUAAAGAAUGAAUGGCCGAGAAAAAACUACAAACAAUGCUAGGUCGUCCGUCCUCCUUUUUUUUUUUCUUCCUUUCCUCCCUUUUUCUUUUUUUUCUAAGCUUCCAAGCAUGAGUAUUUAUAGCAGAUUUGUUGGAAUUCAUCCUUUGAGCGGGAAUUGGGUUCCUCAAAUUUUGAACGUUCAACAUUCAAAUAUUGGAAUUUGUCUCCACUCGAUCUUCAUGUGAUGGAAAGGAUUCAUCACAAAAAUGGAGUAGCAAAUCCUGCCCAUGGUGAAAGGGGUCUGUAUUUUUGCUUGAAGAGGAGAAGAAAACGUUGAGGCAUGUUCAAAGAGGUGGUUCAUUGAGAGUAGAGAAACUUAGGCUAGGUUUUAGGUUUUUUUUUUUUUUUUUUUGUGGGG